CAAGUCGCUUUGCUUCUAGAUCGGCAAUAAAAUUGUGGGUAGCGCCCGUGUCUACCAUCGCACGGGUUGUUUGGCCAUUGAGCUUGAUGUCGACGUACAUUAGCUCACCAUUUCCUGCUUUAUGUAGCCUUGUCUUCGAAUUCUCCCCCACUUGACCCCGCAUGGUGUUCAACAAACGCAUUGCUCCCAUCCGGGGUCCUUGCGACUCCUCGUCGUCGCUGCUGGAUUCAGAACU
rnacentral:lncRNA from 1 species